GACAUCUGUUUCUCAGUCAACA
rnacentral:miRNA from 1 species